CCACUUGGAAACAAGGUGCUAUACCGGAUAGAAAGCAGAUCGCAUGAUAAGCUUUUAAAAGGCGGCGUAAGCUGUCGCUAUGGGGAUGGCCCCGCGGUGCAUUAGCUAGUUGGCAAGGGUAAAGGGCUUACCAAGGCGAUGAUGCAUAGCCCGAGUUGAGAGACUGAUCGGGCCACAUUGGGACUGAGACACGGGCCAAACUCCUACGGGAGGCAGCAGUAGGGGAAUCUUCCACAAUGGACGCAAAGUCUGAUGGAGCAAAACGCCGCGUGAGUGAAGAAGGUUUUCGGAUCGUAAAAACUCUGUUGUUGGUGAAGAAGGAUAGAGGUAGUAACUGGCCCUUUAUUUGACGGUAAUCAACCCAGAAAGUCACGGGCUAACUACGUGCCCAGCAGCCGCGGUAAAU
rnacentral:rRNA from 1 species